GUCGUACGCUUCUUUUUCCCCGGAGCUUGCUCCACCGGAAAAAGAAGAGUGGCGAACGGGUGAGUAACACGUGGGUAACCUGCCCAUCAGAAGGGGAUAACACUUGGAAACAGGUGCUAAUACCGUAUAACAAUCGAAACCGCAUGGUUUUGAUUUGAAAGGCGCUUUCGGGUGUCGCUGAUGGAUGGACCCGCGGUGCAUUAGCUAGUUGGUGAGGUAACGGCUCACCAAGGCCACGAUGCAUAGCCGACCUGAGAGGGUGAUCGGCCACAUUGGGACUGAGACACGGCCCAAACUCCUACGGGAGGCAGCAGUAGGGAAUCUUCGGCAAUGGACGAAAGUCUGACCGAGCAACGCCGCGUGAGUGAAGAAGGUUUUCGGAUCGUAAAACUCUGUUGUUAGAGAAGAACAAGGAUGAGAGUAACUGUUCAUCCCUUGACGGUAUCUAACCAGAAAGCCACGGCUAACUACGUGCCAGCAGCCGCGGUAAUACGUAGGUGGCAAGCGUUGUCCGGAUUUAUUGGGCGUAAAGCGAGCGCAGGCGGUUUCUUAAGUCUGAUGUGAAAGCCCCCGGCUCAACCGGGGAGGGUCAUUGGAAACUGGGAGACUUGAGUGCAGAAGAGGAGAGUGGAAUUCCAUGUGUAGCGGUGAAAUGCGUAGAUAUAUGGAGGAACACCAGUGGCGAAGGCGGCUCUCUGGUCUGUAACUGACGCUGAGGCUCGAAAGCGUGGGGAGCAAACAGGAUUAGAUACCCUGGUAGUCCACGCCGUAAACGAUGAGUGCUAAGUGUUGGAGGGUUUCCGCCCUUCAGUGCUGCAGCUAACGCAUUAAGCACUCCGCCUGGGGAGUACGACCGCAAGGUUGAAACUCAAAGGAAUUGACGGGGGCCCGCACAAGCGGUGGAGCAUGUGGUUUAAUUCGAAGCAACGCGAAGAACCUUACCAGGUCUUGACAUCCUUUGACCACUCUAGAGAUAGAGCUUCCCCUUCGGGGGCAAAGUGACAGGUGGUGCAUGGUUGUCGUCAGCUCGUGUCGUGAGAUGUUGGGUUAAGUCCCGCAACGAGCGCAACCCUUAUUGUUAGUUGCCAUCAUUUAGUUGGGCACUCUAGCAAGACUGCCGGUGACAAACCGGAGGAAGGUGGGGAUGACGUCAAAUCAUCAUGCCCCUUAUGACCUGGGCUACACACGUGCUACAAUGGGAAGUACAACGAGUCGCGAAGUCGCGAGGCUAAGCUAAUCUCUUAAAGCUUCUCUCAGUUCGGAUUGUAGGCUGCAACUCGCCUACAUGAAGCCGGAAUCGCUAGUAAUCGCGGAUCAGCACGCCGCGGUGAAUACGUUCCCGGGCCUUGUACACACCGCCCGUCACACCACGAGAGUUUGUAACACCCGAAGUCGGUGAGGU
rnacentral:rRNA from 1 species